UGAGUAACACGUAUCCAACCUGCCGUCUACUCUUGGACAGCCUUCUGAAAGGAAGAUUAAUACAAGAUGGCAUCAUGAGUCCGCAUGUUCACAUGAUUAAAGGUAUUCCGGUAGACGAUGGGGAUGCGUUCCAUUAGAUAGUAGGCGGGGUAACGGCCCACCUAGUCUUCGAUGGAUAGGGGUUCUGAGAGGAAGGUCCCCCACAUUGGACUGAGACACGGUCCAA
rnacentral:rRNA from 1 species